CCUGAGAAACCCAAAAGAUCGAAUGGGGAGAUUCAUCGUCAGCGGCUCCGGUGCGUGUGCGGUUCGGGAUUUCGCGGGGCUUCGGCCUCGCGGGACUCGUCCGCAUUGUUUAUUUAUGCCGGAGCUCGUCGGCGUGCACUUCUCCCCUAGUAGGACGUCGCGACCCGUUGGGUGUCGGUCUACGACCCGGGCGGGAGUCUGUCGUGCGUCGCGCUUCGCGGUGCGUCAUGCGGCAGACCCCCGGAUGUCCGACCGACUGCCCGGCGGUACUCGCACGGUAUCGGGCCGCAAUCUUUGAUUUGCGUCCGGCUUGUCGCAAGCGAGGUACAAGUUUUUCUCGGACGUACGGACCUCGUGCCGUCGCCGGGCUUGUCCAGCUGUUGGUCGACUUUGCUCUCGGACUGGCUCUCUUUUAUUUAUAUACCGGUCGGCGACGCUACUGCUUUGGGUACUUUCAGGACCCGUCUUGAAACACGGACCAAGGAGUCUAACAUGUGCGCGAGUCAUUGGGAUAUGUAAAGCCUAAGGGCGCAAUGAAAGUGAAGGUCGGCAUCGCGCCGACCGAGGGAGGAUGGGCAGCGUCACGAUGCUGUCCCGCACUCCCGGGGCGUCUCGUUCUCAUUGCGAGAAGAGGCGCACCCAGAGCGUACACGUUGGGACCCGAA
rnacentral:rRNA from 1 species